GACAGAGGGUGCAAACGUUGUUCGGAAUUACUGGGCGUAAAGCGUGUGUAGGCGGCUUGGCAAGUCGGAUGUGAAAGCCCUGGGCUCAACCCAGGAAGUGCACUCGAUACUGCCGAGCUUGAGUAUCGGAGAGGUUGGUGGAAUUCUCGGUGUAGAGGUGAAAUGCGUAGAUAUCGUAAGGAAGACCAGUGGCGAAGGCGGGUCUCUGGACAGUUCCUGACGCUGAGGCACGAAGGUCAGGGGAGCAAACGGG
rnacentral:rRNA from 1 species